rnacentral:rRNA from 1 species
UAACAGCACCCCGAGUGGUCGGGACGAUUAUUGGGCCUAAAGCAUCCGUAGCCGGUUUUACAAGUCCUCCGUUAAAUCCAGCUGCUUAACAGAUGGGCUGCGGAGGAUACUAUAAGACUAGGAGGCAGGAGAGGCAAGCGGUACUCAGUGGGUAGGGGUAAAAUCCGUUGAUCCAUUGAAGACCACCAGUGGCGAAGGCGGCUUGCCAGAAUGCGCUCGACGGUGAGGGAUGAAAGCUGGGGGAGCAAACCGG